AAGAUAAUAAAACUUCAACAACUUACCAACUUUAUUAGAUUCAAGUGGCACAAAAAAAAAUUAUAAUAUUUAAUUAAAAGUUUAUUGAAUAAGUUAGUAGCUUAUUUAAUUAGUUUAUAAAAUUAUAAAUUAUAAUCAAACUUUUACUAUAACGUUAUUAAUUUCAAUUGAUUAGUAGGGGAAAAAGACGUAGUUGUAACUUUGUUUAAAGGUUACUGAGAAAAGUAAGGCCCUUUUAUUUUGAAAAACAAAGAGUACACACGAGGGUAGUUUUAUUAUUAUUAUUAUUAUUUGCAGUCACCGUGGCUCGUGGUCUGUUGUUCAAAAUCAGGAAAAGUCUUUGAAGUAUCAAAAUGUACACCCGUGCAUUCAUAAUUUAAUGAAAUAAUAAUGAGGUAUGCGGUUAUGUAACCGCCUUAUGCUAGGCCUACACUUGUGAUAAAACAUGAGUUCUCAACAUAACAUUGGUUCUAAAAUGCACUCUCAUCAAUAUAUAAAUAUGCACACGCAUAUUACCAAUUAAUAGAAUUAUGUUAUUGUUGUUUUAAUUAUCACUUAGUUAGUAUUUAGUGGAACAUAAUGUAUGAAAAAUUAAAAAAAAAAAGUAAUGAUACAUUAACAUUUGAAAAAAAGAAAAGAUUUUUUUUUCUUUUGAAUUUUCUUUUUUAUACCAGGGAUCUAUUGAAUAAAAUGCUAAGCAAGUAUUUUUUGAAAGUUUGAAUGCUUAAAAGAUGGAAAUCAAUUAUAAAAUCUUUCUUUACUAUAUC
rnacentral:lncRNA from 1 species